UGGGGAAUAUUGCACAAUGGGGGAAACCCUGAUGCAGCGACGCCGCGUGAACGAAGAAGGUAUUCGUAUCGUAAAGUUCUGUCCUAUGGGAAGAUAAUGACAGUACCAUAGAAGAAAGCUCCGGCUAAAUACGUGCCAGCAGCCGCGGUAAUACGUAUGGAGCGAGCGUUGUCCGGAAUUAUUGGGCGUAAAGGGUACGCAGGCGGUUUAAUAAGUCGAAUGUUAAAGAUCGGGGCUCAACCCCGCAAAGCAUUGGAAACUGAUAAACUUGAGUAGUGGAGAGGAAAGUGGAAUUCCUAGUGUAGUGGUGAAAUACGUAGAUAUUACGAGGAAUACCAGUAGCGGAGGCGACUUUCUGGACACAAACUGACGCUGAGGUACGAAAGCGUGGGGAGCAAACAGG
rnacentral:rRNA from 1 species